rnacentral:rRNA from 1 species
MGGGUGAGUAAUAMACGGCACGUGKCCURKAGKGGGGAUAGCCSGSAAAAGCRGAUWAAUAMCCAUACGCUCUAGGGAGAAAAGGGGGGAUCUUAGGACCUCUCGCUACAGGGGCGSCCGAUGGCAGAUUAGCUAGUUGGUGGGGUAAAGGCCUACCAAGGCGACGAUCUGUAGCUGGUCUGAGAGGACGACCAGCCACACUGGGACUGAGACACGGCCCAGACCYCUACGGGAGGCAGCAGUGGGGAAUUUUGGACAAUGGGCGAAAGCCUGAUCCAGCAAUGCCGCGUGUGUGAAGAAGGGCUWMGGGUUGUAAAGCACUUYUGUCCGGAAAGAAAACYUCUGUCCUAAUACGGCGGGAGGAUGACGGUACCGGAAGAAUAAGCACCGGCUAACUACGUGCCAGCAGCCGCGGUAAUACGUAGGGUGCAAGCGUUAAUCGGAAUUACUGGGCGUAAAGCGUGCGCAGGCGGUYCGCUAAGACAGAUGUGAAAUCCCCGGGCUUAACCUGGGAACUGCAUUUGUGACUGGCGGGCUAGAGUAUGGCAGAGGGGGGUAGAAUUCCACGUGUAGCAGUGAAAUGCGUAGAGAUGUGGAGGAAUACCGAUGGCGAAGGCAGCCCCCUGGGCCAAUACUGACGCUCAUGCACGAAAGCGUGGGGAGCAAACAGGAUUAGAUACCCUGGUAGUCCACGCCCUAAACGAUGUCAACUAGUUGUUGGGUCKGVAUUGACUUAGUAACGUACUAACGCGUGAAGUUGACCGCCUGGGAGUA